rnacentral:rRNA from 1 species
GAUGAACGCUAGCGAUAGGCCUAACACAUGCAAGUCGAGGGGCAGCACGGGAGUAGCAAUACAACUGGUGGCGACCGGCGCACGGGUGAGUAACGCGUAUGUAAUCUACCUACAACAGGGGGAUAACCCGGAGAAAUCCGGACUAAUACCGCAUAAAACAGGGGUCCCGCCUGGGACUAUUUGUUAAAGAUUUAUCGGUUGUAGAUGAGCAUGCGUUCCAUUAGAUAGUUGGUAAGGUAACGGCUUACCAAGUCAGCGAUGGAUAGGGGAACUGUGAGGUUGGUCCCCAACACUGGAACUGAGCCACGGACCAGACUCCUACGGUAGGCAGCAGUGAGGAAUAUUGGUCAAUGGGCGAGAGCAUGAACCAGCCAAAUCGCGUGAAGGAAGACUGCCUUAUGGGUUGUAAACUUCUUUUACAGGGGAAUAAAAAGACAUACGAGUAUGUCAUUGCAUGUACCCUGUGAAUAAGCAUCGGCUAACUCCGUGCCAGCAGCCGCAGUAA